rnacentral:lncRNA from 1 species
GUGCUGUUCCCGCCAAUUCCUGUGGUAAUCCUUACCGUGGCGAGUUCCGCGCUCAAUGGAGACGUUUGACCCCACCGAGCUGCCCGAGCUGCUUAAACUUUAUUACCGGAGGCUCUUUCCCUACUCUCAGUACUAUCGCUGGCUCAACUACGGUGGAGCCCAAUCAACACAAUACAGUGAAGCUGGGAGCUUUCCAGGCUCAGGAAAAAGAACUGGUAUUUGACAUUGACAUGACAGACUAUGACGAUGUGAGGAGAUGUUGUAGUUCUGCAGACAUAUGUCCUAAGUGCUG